GAUGAACGCUAGCGGGAGGCCUAACACAUGCAAGCCGAGCGGGAUUUGUUGGUUAGCUUGCUAACUAACAAUGAGAGCGGCGUACGGGUGCGUAGCACGUGUGCAACCUGCCUUUAUCUGGGGGAUAGCCUUUCGAAAGGAAGAUUAAUACCCCAUAACAUAUUGAUUGGCAUCAGUUAAUAUUGAAAGCUCCGGCGGAUAGAGAUGGGCACGCGUAAGAUUAGCUAGUUGGUGAGGUAACGGCUCACCAAGGCUGCGAUCUUUAGGGGGCCUGAGAGGGUGAUCCCCCACACUGGUACUGAGACACGGACCAGACUCCUACGGGAGGCAGCAGUGAGGAAUAUUGGUCAAUGGGUGAGAGCCUGAUCCAGCCAUCCCGCGUGAAGGACUAAGGACCUAUGGUUUGUAAACUUCUUUUAUACAGGGAUAAACCUACUCUCGUGAGGGUAGCUGAAGGUACUGUAUGAAUAAGCACCGGCUAACUCCGUG
rnacentral:rRNA from 1 species